rnacentral:rRNA from 1 species
CGCCUAAAAUUAUUCUAGGUAAAAUCUGCCCAAUGAACGUUGAAUGGCCGCAGUAUCCUGACUGUGCUAAGGUAGCAUAAUCAUUUGUCUUUUAAAUGAAGGCUUGUAUGAAGGAUUUGACAUAGAAUUUUCUGUCUCAACUAUUUUAUUGAAUUUCCUUUUAAAGUUAAAAAGCUUUUUAUUCUAAGGGGACGACAAGACCCUAUAAAACUUUACCUCUCUAAUAAAAUUAUAAUAUAGAGAUUUAUUUUGAAAUCGAGGUUUUACUGGGGCGGUAAGAAUUUAUAAUUUUCAACUCUCAUUUAAACAAUUUUUAUGAUCUUUAUAAACUUAUUUAUAAAAUUGAUAACAAGUUACUUUAGGGAUAACAGCACUAUUUUUUUUAAGAGCCCCUAUCGCCGAAAAAGUUUGUGACCUCGAUGUUGAAUUGAGUUUCCUUUACAGAGCAGCUUUUGUAAUAAGAAAGUCUGUUCGACUUGUAAUUUCUC